rnacentral:rRNA from 1 species
AUUGAACGCUAGCGGGAUGCCUUACACAUGCAAGUCGAACGGAGUGGCGAACGGGGGCGUAAUGUAUAGGAACGUGCCCCGUCGCGGGGGAUAACUACGAGAAAGCGUAGCUAAUACUGCAUACUAUCGGCGCCGCCUAUAUCGGAUUUGCUGGUUGGUGGGGUAACGGCUCACCAAGGCGACGGUCCUUAGCCGGUUUGAGGGGACGACCAGCCACACUGGGACUGGGACAGGGCCCGGACUCCUACGGGAGGCAGCAGUGGGAAAUUUUGGACAAUGGGGGAAACCCUGAUCCGGACAGCCCGCGUGGGCGAUGAAGGCCUUCGGGUUGUAAAGCACUUUAAGCAGGAAGGCGGUACCUGCAGAAUAAGCACCGGCUAACUACGUGCCAGCAGCCGCGGUAAUUC